AGAGAGAGACCGCUAAGCAGGAAGCUGAAGGUUUGGUGCUUGGUGAGUGGCUUUGGAGUCAUGCUUUGUAAAUUUAACUCAGAGGCAAAGAGAGUUUACCUUUUCAGACUGUGGCAGAGGCAAAUGAGGAGCCCCAGGAACUAAGACAAAAGGAAUUCUGAGAGAAUGACAGAGCCUCCUAAGGUCUGGGAAAGUAAGCCUGGCUACCUGUUGCCUACCUGGGUCCUGAGUAAACCUGUCCGGCACCUACUGAGUCGAGAAAGAUACUCAGUUGUCCCACCUCCCAUCCAGCCCUCGAAAGAGGAUGUCCUGGAAACCCCAGAGGCCCAUAACCAUUCAAAACUUCACCCAGAGCUUCUACCUCCUUUCGGAGCUGUCCUCUGGUCCUACCCUGGUGGAGACCACUGCUGAGGGCAGCGCCUGGUCCCUGGCACAUGACGGUUUCAUGUUUCCGAGGAGGAAGAGAACAAACGCAGAAGAUAAUUGUAGUGGAACGGCUGAUAAGUAACGUUUGGUCUCCUUUUUACAACCAUUCCCUGGGGCCCCAUUAUGGUAAUUUUUCUUCUAUAACUGGCAAAUUGUAUAACGAGUCAGAUGAUAAACCAGCAAGCAAGGCAGAAAUUUGCAUUUUAAUACAUCUGCUGGUGCCAUCCCCCCACUUCAAUCUCUGAGGGGUCAGCACCCCUCUGAUCCUGGGUCCCCUGGCACCGUGCCCUCCCAAUCCUCCCCUUGCUCUCCGAGAGCGACGCCAGAGCACUCGAUAAAUAUAACAUUUCAAAUGCAAGCCCGGAGUCUGAUUUCUCGGAUAUUGUGGAAAGUAACCAUAAGGCUGGGCACCCGUGUUGGCCAGCCGGGCUCUCCCCGGCUUUAUCGCUCAUGGAAGGCUAAGCUUACCCAGGAACCUAAGCUGUGCCUCAGUUUCCCUCUCUGUCAAAUGUAUUGCUCUAAUACCCAUAGAAGGUUGUAUUUUUACCCCCUUCGGAGUGCUACAGAGCUGGCUUAGCAAUGAAGAGUGCUUACUGCUUUCUCGGACGACCCGGGCUCAGUUUCAAACCCCUGCACCAGGCAGCUCACCACCAUCUGUAACUCCACUUGCAGGGAUCUCAUGCCCUCUAAUCUGCGGGCACUUGCAUGUACGCAGUGCACAUAAAUGAGUACACACAUGCAGGCACACAGAAAACUUUCAAAAACUGAUAAUUUCUUAAGACUUUCUUCUGUGUGUAUACAUGGUCAUACAUGUGUGCAUGUGUCCAUGUGUAUAUGGGUGCAUGUAUGCUUAUAUUGUGAAGGCCAGGUCAACGCUGGGAAUUUUUCUCAAUCACUCUCCAGCUUAUAUUGUUUUUAGAAGCAGGGUCUCUCACUGAGCCUGAGGUUUAUCACUUCAGCCAGCUUAGCUGGCUCUUAGCCCUAGGAAUCCUCUUGUCUCUGCCUCCCCAGUGUUGAAUGCGCAGAUGCUGACCACAUCACCAGCUGUUUGAUAUGGGCAUCGAGGAUUUGAACUGAGCCUGAGCCCUCUCCCCAAGCCCUGUACUAAGUUUGUUAAUGCCUGGUGGAUAGCAUUUGUGAUAACUAUUCAUUAUUAUAAUAAAUAUUAUACGAUUAAUAUUUAUUGAUAAAUUGACAAGUACCUC